CAUUUUUUGUUCUGUUAUAGU
rnacentral:miRNA from 1 species